GACGUAGGGCGCGAGCGUUGUCCGGAUUUAUUGGGCGUAAAGGGCGCGUAGGCGGCGUGGUAAGUCAGCUGUGAAAUCUCCGAGCUUAACUCGGAACGGUCAGCCGAUACUGCUGUGCUAGAGUACAGAAGGGGCAAUCGGAAUUCUUGGUGUAGCGGUGAAAUGCGUAGAUAUCAAGAGGAACACCUGAGGCGAAGGCGGGUUGCUAGGCUGAUACUGACGCUGAGGCGCGAAAGCUAGGGUAGCAAACGGG
rnacentral:rRNA from 1 species